rnacentral:pre_miRNA from 1 species
CUUGUACUCCCACCAUCCGGAAAUACUUGUCAUUGAAAUGGAUGUAUCUAGAUGUAUUUUAGUUCUAGACACAUCCGUUUUGAUGACAAGUAAUUCCGGACAGAGGGCGUACUUG